CCUACGGGAGGCUGCAGUGGGGAAUAUUGGGCAAUGGGCGCAAGCCUGAACCAGCAAAGCCGCGUGAAGGAAGAAGGCUUUAGGGUUGUAAAAUUCUUUUUUCAGGGAAGAAGAAAGUGACGGUACCUGAGGAAUAAGCCUCGGCUAACUACGUGCCAGCAGCAGCGGUAAUACGUAGGUGGCAAGCGUUAUCCGGAUUUAAUGGGUUUAAGGGGCGUGUAGGCGGGAAAGCAAGUCAGAUGGGAAAACCAUGGGCUCAACCUGUGGCUUGCAUUUGAAACUGGUAUUCUUGAGUACAGGAGAGGCAGACGGAAUUCCUAGUGUAGCGGUGAAAUGCGUAGAUAUUACGAGGAACACCAGUUGCGAAGGCAGUCUGCUGGACAGCAACUGACGCUGAGGCGCGAAAGCGUGGGUAGCAAACAGGAUUAGAUACCCGAGUAGUC
rnacentral:rRNA from 1 species